UAUAAUAUGUUGCAGGUUUCAUUCUACUACUUCCAAGGCAAAAAACCAGUUUUGAAAAACUGUAGUCGAUCAUCGGAAUAGCAGUAGCAAACUCGAAACGACGAUGAUGUCUGCAUGAGAACUUUUUUUAUGUAAAUCACAACCGAUAGUACAUACUGGCAAAAAGCCAUAUAAAUGCAAUGUAUGUGAAAAAUCAUUUACCCUGAACAAAAACUUAAAGAGGCAUGAGUGUGUGCACACUGGUGAUGAGCCAUACAAGUGCCAAAUCUGCGACAAAUUGCUUAGUUGGCAGUUUCCUCUCAAGCUACACUCAAGCGAGGAUUACGUACCGGUGACAAACCGUACAACUGCUGUGCUUGUGAUAAAUCGUUUGUCCAAUAGUGUGAUCUAAAGAAACAUGAACUCAGACAUACUGACAAAUGCUGUGAAUGUGAUCUUAGAUAUAUUGAACAACAACUAUUGUUUACCGUGCACAUUUUUACGGACUAGAAAUAUAUUUUACACAUGUCUUGGACAAACAAUGAGUGCGUUUUGGUUAGAUGUUUGCACAUACCUAGUUUGUAUUAUCUUCAACAGUGUUUGGUAUAGACUUGGUAGGUCUUAUUGAUUUUGUAAACCAUUCAGCAUGAAGGCGCAUUUCAUAUUUAAGUUUUUGAUCGCUUUAAUUGUUUUAUGCAUAAACGACGAUACGACGAGGGUUGUUAGCCAGCGCUCGACGAAUGAAGCAAAGUGUCAGAUGUACCAUGUUUGUCAAUCAAAACAUUGGAAACACCUGAGUUUAGCCGAAGUCAAAUGUAGAUCGGGUUGGACCAACAAAACUGAUGUGUACACAGAAGAUUCGGGUCGACAUCUCAGGACAAUCGAUAAGUUGAACAUUGUCCCAUAUAUGAUGGGUUGCGCUUACGGCCAACACUUGUAUGACUUUCUUUGGUUAACUAUCCACACGGUUUUCGAGUGCAGACGUUUGUCGGAAGUGAAUAAUUUUCUAACGGUCGACUGUUGGAAAAAAAUCAUACAUGCCUUCGAAUCUGGUGUUGGUGAGAUAUUAAGAUUGAUGGCCGCCUUCGUACACAUCCAAGGAUUACAAGGACACUCAGGAGUGUGGACAUGAGUGACGUGCAACAAUCAGAAAAAAGUUUAAACUGGACCGUUAAAAAUGUUGCCAACAAUUUAGGUAAACACUUCAACCGCACCUGUCGACCAUGUCACCGUGUCUUCUUAAUAGACAAGUUAAAUGAAGAAUUUACCGAACAAAACACCACAGUUGUUCUGUAUGAUUUCUAUGUAAGCAAGUUGAAUUCUUUGUCAGGAUACAUCGGUGCUCACAUGAGCGCACUUGGUUUUGAUUUUUACAAUCCAUCCACGGGUAAAGUUUACUAUUGUUAUCCUCUCGACUCGGAUAGCGAAGACGAAGCCGUUUAGAAACCGUCUUAUGAUGGCAGCCUUGUUGAGCUUUUAUGUCAUGUUAAGCUCACACGAUCAGGAUCGUGAUAAACCUCAGCAAUAUUUAGUGAAAUUAGUAUUAUAUGGAACUACAUGAUUGUAUAAAAUGUACAAUGUUUUUUUCAAUAUGUAAAAUCAAUUCAUUAAGUGUAAUAAAAAUUGUAAACUUUGUCACUAUAAAA